rnacentral:rRNA from 1 species
UACGAAGGGGCUAGCGUUGCUCGGAAUGACUGGGCGUAAAGGGCGCGUAGGCGGUUUGCACAGUCAGAUGUGAAAUUCCUGGGCUUUAACCUGGGGGCUGCAUUUGAUACGUGUGGGCUUGAGUGCGGAAGAGGGUCGUGGAAUUCCCAGUGUAGAGGUGAAAUUCGUAGAUAUUGGGAAGAACACCGGUGGCGAAGGCGGCGACCUGGUCCGUGACUGACGCUGAGGCGCGAAAGCGUGGGGAGCAAACAGG